CCUACGGGUGGCUGCAGUGGGGAAUAUUGGACAAUGGGGGCAACCCUGAUCCAGCCAUGCCGCGUGUGUGAAGAAGGCCCUCGGGUUGUAAAGCACUUUCAGUGAGGAAGAACGCCUGGUGGUUAAUACCCAUCAGGAAAGACAUCACUCACAGAAGAAGCACCGGCUAACUCCGUGCCAGCAGCCGCGGUAAUACGGAGGGUGCGAGCGUUAAUCGGAAUUACUGGGCGUAAAGCGCGCGUCGGUGGCUUGAUAAGCCGGUUGUGAAAGCCCCGGGCUCAACCUGGGAACGGCAUCCGGAACUGUCAAGCUAGAGUGCAGGAGAGGAAGGUAGAAUUCCCGGUGUAGCGGUGAAAUGCGUAGAGAUCGGGAGGAAUACCAGUGGCGAAGGCGGCCUUCUGGACUGACACUGACACUGAGGUGCGAAAGCGUGGGUAGCAAACAGGAUUAGAUACCCGAGUAGUC
rnacentral:rRNA from 1 species